GACGUAGGGCGCGAGCGUUGUCCGGAUUUACUGGGCGUAAAGAGCGUGUAGGCGGCCAUACAGGUCCGUUGUGAAAACUGGAGGCUCAACUUCCAGACGUCGACGGAAACCGUGUGGCUAGAGUCCGGAAGAGGAGAGUGGAAUUCCUGGUGUAGCGGUGAAAUGCGCAGAUAUCAGGAAGAACACCAAUGGCGAAGGCAGCUCUCUGGGACGGUACUGACGCUGAGACGCGAAAGCGUGGGGAGCGAACAGG
rnacentral:rRNA from 1 species